rnacentral:rRNA from 1 species
GAUGAACGCUGGCGGCGUGCCUAAUACAUGCAAGUCGAGCGAACGGACGAGAAGCUUGCUUUUCUGAUGUUAGCGGCGGACGGGUGAGUAACACGUGGAUAACCUACCUAUAAUACUGGGAUAACUUCGGGAAACCGGAGCUAAUACCGGAUAAUAUUUUGAACCGCAUGGUUCAAAAGUUAAUGACGGUCUUGCUGUCACUUAUAGAUGGAUCCGCGCUGCAUUAGCUAGUUGGUAAGGUAACGGCUUACCAAGGCAACGAUGCAUAGCCGACCUGAGAGGGUGAUCGGCCACACUGGAACUGAGACACGGUCCAGACUCCUACGGGAGGCAGCAGUAGGGAAUAUUCCGCAAUGGGCGAAAGCCUGACGGAGCAACGCCGCGUGAGUGAUGAAGGUCUUCGGAUCGUAAAACUCUGUUAUUAGGGAAGAACAUAUGUGUAAGUAACUGUGCACAUCUUGACGGUACCUAAUCAGAAAGCCACGGCUAACUACGUG